rnacentral:rRNA from 1 species
UACAGAGGGUGCGAGCGUUGUUCGGAUUCAUUGGGCGUAAAGGGUGCGUAGGCGGUCUUCUAAGUUUGAUGUGAAAUCCCGGGGCUCAACCCUGGAAUUGCAUUGAAUACUGGAGGACUAGAGUACCGGAGAGGAAACUGGAAUUUACGGUGUAGCAGUGAAAUGUGUAGAGAUCGUAAGGAAGACCAGUGGCGAAGGCGAGUUUCUGGACGGUAACUGACGCUGAGGCACGAAGGCCAGGGGAGCAAACAGG